UGAGCGCUUUCUCCAGUGCGUCAGUUUGGAGGGAGGCGUGGGAGGGAGGGGAGAGGUGUGUCCCAAGGGGGAGUGGGGGCGGGACCAAGCUCAUGUGGGUGGUGGCGACGAAGCUGUGUUUGUUUGUUAGCUGCUAACUGGUAGCUAUAGCUCUUCACAACGGCACGUCAAGCAACAGGGGGAAUUGACGCAUUUGACCCGAAGAUGAAACAUGUAGAGAGCUACCUGCUCAUGGACUUCAGCGCAGGACGUCUCCGAAGGCUGCUUCAAGUCCAACAGUGAUUCCCGUGUUGUCGUGCAUAUCCAUGCUGAGUUCCUUGAUGACGAAGGACACUACACCGGGGAUUCAGACUGCAGUACGCAUGAACCUCAACACAAGGCUUGCUGUGACCUCUUUAUCUGGCUGGCUCGUCUGUGAACUGCACCAACGCCAACAUUGCCUCAGUCUGCUUUGCAGGGUUCCCAAAGACCUUGUCCAGAAUGAGUUCCACGAACAUGAACAUAACCUUUUCACACAAAACAUACAGAAAAAAGCACACAUAUUGUUUAGAAUUCUAAUUCUCCUAUUUUGUAGACUUAAUGUGCUAUUGAAGUAACGCCAAUAAAAAAUGUUAUGUCAAAUUGA